AUUGAACGCUGGCGGCAGGCCUAACACAUGCAAGUCGAACGAGUGGCGGACGGGUGAGUAAUGUCUGGGCAACCUCCUGAUGGAGAGGGAUAACUACUGGAAACGGUAGCUAAUAUUGCAUACCAUCAGAUGUGCCCCGAUGGGAUUGGCUAGUUGGUGGGGUAACGGCUCACCAAGGCGACGAUCCCUAGCUGGUCUGAGAGGAUGACCAGCCACCCUGGAGCGGAGACGCGGUCCAUGCUACUACGGGAGGGAGCAGUGGGGAAUAGUGCACAGUGGGCGCAAGCAUGAUGCAGCCAUGGCGCGUGUAAGCAGGAGGCCUUCGGGUUGUAAAGUACUUUCAGCGGGGAGGCGUUACCCGCAGAAGAAGCACCGGCUAACUCCGUGCCAGCAGCCGCGGUAAUAC
rnacentral:rRNA from 1 species